UCCUCCAUGCCACUCCAGAAGCCAGGGAGUGGAACCUCAGCAAAGACCUCAUCCGCUUCCUGCGCUCUGUACAAGCAGCUGUUCCUGUAUGAACAAGAUCCUGAAGUCCACAGCCAGCGCAGCGUCAACAGCCAAGGCCACAGCAAUGAGGACAGGACAACCUCAGUCUGCUUCCUGGCCUGGAGCAGAAGUGUAUAGAUGGGCGUCUGUGUUCCUGGGUUCUUUCCUGCUCCUGAUCUGCCUCCCUUCAUGUAAGAAAACCUUCUCCUGCUGCUUCCUGGCCUGGAGCAGCAGUGUAUAGAUGGGCGUCUGUGUUCCUGGGUUCUUUCCUGCUCCUGAUCUGCUUCCCUUCAU